rnacentral:rRNA from 1 species
ACGGCGAGUCAAGCGGCAAAAGCUCAAAUUUGAAACCCUCGGGAUUGUAAUUUGAAGAUUUGGCAUUGGAGAAAGCUAACCCAAGUUGCUUGGAAUAGUACGUCAUAGAGGGUGACAACCCCGUCUGGCUAACCGUUCUCCAUGUAUUGCCUUAUCAAAGAGUCGAGUUGUUUGGGAAUGCAGCUCAAAGUGGGUGGUAAACUCCAUCUAAAGCUAAAUACUGGUGAGAGACCGAUAGCGAACAAGUACUGUGAAGGAAAGGUGAAAAGAACUUUGAAAAGAGAGUGAAAUAGUAUGUGAAAUUGUUGAUAGGGAAGGAAAUGAGUGGAGAGUGGCCGAGGUUUCAGCCGCCCCUCGUGGGCGGUGUACUGCCGACGCCGAGUCAUCGAUAGCGAGACGAGGGUUACAAAUGGGAGCGCCUUUCGGGCGUUCUCCCCUAACCCUCCACACUGCCACCGACGACAUAAUCCACCCAUUUCACCCGUCUUGAAAAACGGACCA